rnacentral:rRNA from 1 species
GUGGGGAAUAUUGGACAAUGGGCGAAAGCCUGAUCCAGCCAUGCCGCGUGUGUGAAGAAGGUCUUCGGAUUGUAAAGCACUUUAAGUUGGGAGGAAGGGCAGUAAGUUAAUACCUUGCUGUUUUGACGUUACCGACAGAAUAAGCACCGGCUAACUUCGUGCCAGCAGCCGCGGUAAUACGAAGGGUGCAAGCGUUAAUCGGAAUUACUGGGCGUAAAGCGCGCGUAGUUGGUUUUGUAAGUUGGAGGUGAAAUCCCCGGGCUCAACCUGGGAACUGGCUCAAAACUGCAUGACUAGAGUACGGUAGAGGGUAGUGGAAUUUCCUGUGUAGCAGUGAAAUGCGUAGAUAUAGGAAGGAACACCAGUGGCGAAGGCGACUACCUGGACUGAUACUGACACUGAGGUGCGAAAGCGUGGGGAGCAAACAGGAUUAGAAACCCCUGUAGUCC